GUGCUUACACAUGCAAGUCGAACGAUGAAGCCUUUCGGGGUGGAUUAGUGGCGAACGGGUGAGUAACACGUGGGCAAUCUGCCCUUCACUCUGGGACAAGCCCUGGAAACGGGGUCUAAUACCGGAUAACACUCUGUCCUGCAUGGGACGGGGUUAAAAGCUCCGGCGGUGAAGGAUGAGCCCGCGGCCUAUCAGCUUGUUGGUGGGGUAAUGGCCUACCAAGGCGACGACGGGUAGCCGGCCUGAGAGGGCGACCGGCCACACUGGGACUGAGACACGGCCCAGACUCCUACGGGAGGCAGCAGUGGGGAAUAUUGCACAAUGGGCGAAAGCCUGAUGCAGCGACGCCGCGUGAGGGAUGACGGCCUUCGGGUUGUAAACCUCUUUCAGCAGGGAAGAAGCGAAAGUGACGGUACCUGCAGAAGAAGCGCCGGCUAACUACGUGCCAGCAGCCGCGGUAAUACGUAGGGCGCAAGCGUUGUCCGGAAUUAUUGGGCGUAAAGAGCUCGUAGGCGGCUUGUCACGUCGGAUGUGAAAGCCCGGGGCUUAACCCCGGGUCUGCAUUCGAUACGGGCUAGCUAGAGUGUGGUAGGGGAGAUCGGAAUUCCUGGUGUAGCGGUGAAAUGCGCAGAUAUCAGGAGGAACACCGGUGGCGAAGGCGGAUCUCUGGGCCAUUACUGACGCUGAGGAGCGAAAGCGUGGGGAGCGAACAGGAUUAGAUACCCUGGUAGUCCACGCCGUAAACGUUGGGAACUAGGUGUUGGCGACAUUCCACGUCGUCGGUGCCGCAGCUAACGCA
rnacentral:rRNA from 1 species